GCCGGGAUGGCGGAAUUGGUAGACGCAGUGGACUCAAAAUCCACCGACCGCAAGGUUGUGGGGGUUCAAUUCCCCCUCCCGGUACCA
rnacentral:tRNA from 1 species